UUGCAGCUGAACCGAAACACUCAAGUUUCUGGGGCACUGAUGCUUGACGGCUCAGAAAGAGCGAUCCCCCAGCACGAGCCUGCCGAGCUGUUCUGCGCUGUGCACUGAAAGGGGCAGGAGGCAGCACAGCGGAGCUGCUGAUUAAUGACAACAGCCAUGGAGGAUUUUCCUAUUAUGCCAAGCGUCGGAGGGAAACAGGUACACUGCGUACAAGAGGCCAUUCUGAGAGGGCACAAUAUUACGCCAUGUAGCAGUAGACUUCUCCUCAUGCUUUGGAUAAGCUAAAUGAGAUUACUAGCUUUGUCACAGAGGACCCAUAAAUCUUACUAUAAGAGAUUAAUUCCCAAGGAGAGAACACUUCACUGAAAUCCGCAACUUCUCCCUUAUGUGGCUCUUCCUCAAAAUUUUUGGUCAGUGGUAAGAGACUCAAUCACUUUUGCAACUGACAGCAAAAGGCAACAGCAAACUUUCUCCGGGCAUUGCUGCUGGGAAUGAAUUUCUGGCCUGAUGUUUCAGGGAUUUCACAUUCAGAUUCACUAGCAGCUUUGAUCUUUCUGGGGGAAUCACACCUAUCUUGCGCUCUAUCCCUACGCUGUGUCAAGGACAGAAGGGGUAUGCGACUGCAACGUCACCGACGUGAACUUUACGUGGCCUUAUUGGUACAACAGGAAGCAACAGAAGAUGUUCCUCAUUUACAUAAAGCUCCAAUCAUGAGUCAUCUCUAUCUUCUACAGCUCCGCUUGUCACUCUGACGAGUCUCUGGACGCAUCCUCUCUCUCUCUCCAUCUCUCUUAAUAUAUGCUAAAACAUAUAUUAAGAGAGAUGCCAACCCUUAAAGAAGAUGAUUACCAGUUUGGAAUAUCUGUUUGGCCAAAUGGCAACUUCAGCUGAAAUCAGCCUCGAGGGCAGAUGCUAAAUUGGAUUCCAGGUCAUCUGAAGCUGGGCAUCCAAAACUGACUCCAGAGGCCAGAUCCUGGUGAAUCAAAUGCUAACAAUGACAUUUCAGGAGUGUGGAGUGCAUAGACCGCAGAUGAAAUCAAUAGAAGGCCAGAGCCAAUCUCUUCUGUCUUUGUUCAUUAGAGGGUUAAAAAAAACUCUUUUAAAAAGAUCUUCUCCAGCCACUCCCUGACUUCUGCAACACAUGCGUUAGCACUGAGAAAACCUCAGUCAUCAUAGGACUGGCAAAGGACCAAGCAAGAGUCAUGAAAACUCAAGUGUCAGUCACAGAACAGGCCACAUGCUAGCAACUCACAGAAGAAGCAAUUAUGAAUCCAUGUCCUUCCUAUGAAAAAGAUGGAAAAAGACUCUAUCUCUUGCCUGAAAAGUCCCACUGGGCUUACUGAUUUCCCUGAACACUAUACAAUAUCUAGAGGAAACCACUGAGAAAGCUGAUAAGGCAGCAUGGACUAGCAUGCCAAAAGUGAGGUGCUAUUCAACAUCUCACACACGCGGCCAGUUCCAAUGGCUCAAAUGAUGGGUGAGAACUUGCUAAGCUGCAAUAACUUGACUGGAUAUCCACAAAUUGCUGAAGUAGGAUUUGGCAAGUCUUCCAACAAAGCUUCUAGUACCUUCUUUGAAAAAUUCCUCCUUGAUAAAGGUUUGGGUUGUUUAACUUGUUCCCUGCCUAUGGGUCUUUGUGAUGACCCAGUGCUAUUGAAUACUCAGAUAGUCAUUCUGUUGAAAAAUGCCAGGUGUCAUGUAUUGCUGCCAUUCCCUCCUGCUAGACACAGACCUGAUCACAGGCUGACCAUACACUCAAGAGGCCCAGGCUGGCUUCCACAACUCAUAUCUAGGAAGAAGCUGCUCAUUUUGAGAAGGUCAUUCUUAAUGCAGCAAGCCAGGCACUCAGCAUCACUAGUCCCUGCCUAGCUUUCCACGCUGACUCCCCACUGAGAGCAUGCCAGUGCAAGAUCUCUGGGAGAAAUCCAAAAUAACACUCAGGCACUGAAGUGCAACUUAUGCAGACUGCUGGCGCCUAUGCUCCUGACAGCAACCCAGGAAAGCUCUGCCUCCCCCAUCCCAGCUAUGUCAGAUGCUGUAAGUGCCUACGGUUUCUGACAACAGCUUCUUCAGGCGCCAAAAGGUCUAAUGCCUCUUUGUGCUCAGAAGUCCUGCUCCUCCGACCAGGCUGAAUUCAGGCAGCUACUUCUUGCUUAGGCCUAUCCAGAAAGCAGCUUCCUGAACUACAGCAAACACUGAUCAAUAGAGGGACGGCUACGAAAGCAUGAGGAUGUAAGUGAAUUGGAUCAAAUUGGAAAGCUGUCCUGGCGUUGCUCGGAGUCCAUUAGUUUCUUCAGAGUUUAAGAAGACAGAAUGGAAAGAUGUGGAUCUCUAAGGAUGGAGAUGAUUACAGUGGCAAAAAGAGGAAGAAGAAAGUUGUAGAAUCAAUUAGGAAAGCAGCACAUUUAGAAUGCUGUAAUCCCUCUUUCUCUUGCCUUACUUUUUGACUAAAAAGACAAAAAUAGUUGUAUUUUGUUCCUGCACUGUAAUUUAACAUGCAUUGUAUGUGAGUGACAUGACUUUAUUCCUUAAUACAGCCGUGAUCACGGUCUAUCUGCAGAAAAAAAGACCCUGACUGAUGCCAUUAGCUGGAGACAUUAUUAAGGGAACCUGCGGUGCAGGAUGAUGUACGGAAUAGCGUGGGAUUAGCGAGGUGCAUUGCAUUAAACCUGGCAGGGAUGAAGUCAGAUGAAAGCAUUAGCAUCUUCAAGCAAAGAGGCAAGACAGCACAUCAAAGGAACUCAAGUGACUGGCGAAAUGCCUUGCCUGCAGAACGGAGAGCUUUUUCUUAUUUUAAUUCUUUGGCCUCCAAUAAAACUGCCAAGAGAUUUUCAAGAGAAAGAGCCACACUGAGACCAAAGUUGUUCAUCCUCUACC